AGUGAUGUUGGGGGAGGAGAAUGAGGCCCUGCAGGGGACCAGAAUGGUGUGCAAAUGAAGGCGUGGAGGAAGGAAAACAUGAGGCGCCAACUUUGAGCUGAAUCCUAGGAAGAAGGUGGCCUAGCCCAGAGUGAGGUUGGAGGCUGAUCCAGGCAAAGCAGCUGUAUUCACAGGGACAGGAGGCAACUGUCUAAGAGAUGAGGAAACUGAGGCUGAGAGGGUAGAGAACUUUGCCUGAGGUCACUCAGCAGGGACCCACCCAUCACAGUAAAUGCCAGCACUGCUGAUGCCAAAACAAUGUUAUUUGUAGGCCCUCGGAAUUUGUGACCUGAAGGAAGAAGAGCAGGGCCGUGGGAAGUAUGUAACCAGUGUCAUGCCCCUGGUCCCAAGGAAGCAGUGGCUUGGCCUGAACACCCUGUCCUACCUGGUCCUACCUGGAUGCUGGCCUCAGUAAGCUCCUGGGCUCAUUGAAGAUGAACCUAGCAGUAGUAUUUACACCACUUGUUGUGUGCCCACUGUGGGCCCGGCGCCAUGCCGAGUGCUCUAUGGAUGUGAGAGAAACGGAGGCCCAGAAAGCAGAAAUGAUGUGUUAAGAUCACUCAUCAAGCUGAUGAUGAGAACACUGAAGCAGUUUUUUCUAAAGAUAGCUGCCUGGCACAGUGGCUCACAUCUGUAGUCCCAGCAUUUGGGGAGGCCAAGGCAGGUGGAUCACUUGAGGCCAGGAAUUCAAGACCAGCAUGGCCAACAUGUGCUGGGAGAGAAAAGCAUACGACAUAGACAGGGAGGUCAAGCUCCACCACGCAGAUGAGGUGCAGGCCACCAGUCUUCCUCUGCCACAUCUCUUUCUGAAAAGGACUUCACAUUCACCCUUGCAAUCCAUGUGGGGACACUGUUGGAUAGGAGGCGUGGUCCCAGCGUGGUCUCCCUGUCUGGGCCUCUGCCUAUGCCAAAUGUUUGCCUUACGCUGCACACUCAAGAGGUUCCAUGUAUACAGAUGGGAAUUCCAGAGCUACAGAAAAGGCAGCAAGCACCAUGAUUUAAGCUAACCAGUGUGGAUUCACACCUUCCUCUCUCUCUAUCAGUGGCAGAACUACCAGCUAGAGUAAGAAGUGGUUGAUCCAGGACCUAAACAUUCUGGAAACUCUUGCCCACUUCUGGGAGAAAUGACCCAAUCCAUAGUACUAAGCACACCUUAACUUUCGUAGGACGCAGGCAAGUUGUCAUACCGUGUGCCUAAAUAUAGAAAAAUGAUCCACUGGACUAAUAAAGUGUUAAAUAAAAU
rnacentral:lncRNA from 1 species